UACGAAGGGGGCUAGCGUUGUUCGGAAUUACUGGGCGUAAAGCGCGUGUAGGCGGGGCUUUAAGUCAGGGGGGAAAUGCCAAGGCUCAACCUUGGAACUGCCUUUGAUACUGGAGAUCUUGAGUCCGGGAGAGGUGAGUGGAAUUGCGAGUGUAGAGGUGAAAUUCGUAGAUAUUCGCAAGAACACCAGUGGCGAAGGCGGCUCACUGGCCCGGAACUGACGCUGAGACGCGAAAGCGUGGGGAGCAAACAGG
rnacentral:rRNA from 1 species